rnacentral:rRNA from 1 species
GUGCCACGCGGUAAUACGUAGGCAGCGAGCGUUGUUCGGAGUUACUGGGCGUAAAGGGUGUGUAGGCGGUCCUCUAAGUUUGGUGUGAAAUCUCCCGGCUCAACCGGGAGGGUGCGCCGAAAACUGGAGGGCUAGAGUGCGGGAAGGGAGAGUGGAAUUCCUGGUGUAGCGGUGAAAUGCGUAGAUAUCAGGAGGAACACCGGUGGUGUAGACGGCUCUCUGGACCGCGACUGACGCUGAGACACGAAAGCGUGGGUAGCAAACAGG